ACGGCUCAGUAACACGUCGAUAACCUUCCCUAUGGUCAGGGAUAAGCUCGGGAAACUGAGUGUAACACCUGAUAGGGAAACGGCACUGGAAUGUCCGUUUCUUCAAACUCGCGCCUUAGGAUGGGUCGGCGGCGGAUUAGGCAGUUGGUGGGGUAACGGCCCACCAAACCUUUGAUCCGUACGGGCCAUGAGAGUGGUAGCCCGGAGAGGGACACUGAAAUACUGGUCCCAGCCCUACGGGGUGCAGCAGGCGCGAAACCUCCACAAGGCACGAAAGUGUGAUGGGGGGAUCCUACGUGCUCAUGUCUAACAUGGGCUUUUGCCGAGAUUAGACAUCUCGGCGAAUAAGGGGUGGGUAAGACCGGUGCCAGCCGCCGCGGUAACCCCGGCGCCCCGAGUGGCAAUCGCGAUUAUUGGGCCUAAAGCGUCCGUAGUCGGAUAGGUAAAUCCUCUGUGAAAUCGCUGCGCUUAACGCAGCGGCAGGCAGGGGAAACUGCCUAUCUCGAGACCGGGAGGGGUCAGAGGUAUGCCGUGGGGACUGGUAAAAUGGUAUAAUCCACGGUAGACCACCAAUGGCGAAGGCAUCUGACCAGAACGGAUCUGACGAUGAGGGACGAAAGCUGGGGGAGCGAACCGGAUUAGAUACCCGAGUAGUCCCAGCCGUAAACGCUGUGAGCUAGGUGUCGCCCAUCCCACGAGGAUGGGCGGUGUCGAAACGAAGGUGCUAAGCUCACCGCCUGGGAAGUACGGUCGCAAGACUGAAACUUUAAGGAAUUGGCGGGGGAGCAC
rnacentral:rRNA from 1 species